rnacentral:lncRNA from 1 species
UGAGUUGGAUGGCACUGUGACAUUUGGGCUUUGCAAGCUAGUGUGGCCAAAUGUAACAUAAAGCAUAUCUAAACAUACGAUUCUAAAAUGGUUUGUUUUGUCAUUUUAAAUUUUUACUAUUUUAAAGUCUUUCUUGGUUUUAGAAGAUUUAGUAAUAUCAAUCAACAAUAGGUGUCAUCUACUGAACACAUAAAUGUCAGAGUCUUUGGAAAAAAAAUGGCACAGGAGAAAGAGGAAAAUCAGAUGUCUUAGCACUAUAGGAGUGGCAGCAUGGUUCAGAUUUUGGAAACUGAUGCAAAAUGAGCAACACAUGGAGAGAAACAAGUCUUGUAUGUUUAGUGACUUUAUAUUCUUGGAAUAAAUCUAUGUCCUCAGAUCUGCAGAAGAAAGUAAGUGAUAAACACAUAUAUAUAACUAAAUAUUGAAAUAAACC